rnacentral:rRNA from 1 species
UACGUAGGGGGCAAGCGUUGUCCGGAAUUAUUGGGCGUAAAGCGCGCGCAGGCGGCUAUUUAAGUCUGGUGUUUAAACCUUGGGCUCAACCUGAGGUCGCACUGGAAACUGGGUGGCUUGAGUACAGAAGAGGAAAGUGGAAUUCCACGUGUAGCGGUGAAAUGCGUAGAUAUGUGGAGGAACACCAGUGGCGAAGGCGACUUGCUGGGCUGUAACUGACGCUGAGGCGCGAAAGCGUGGGGAGCAAACAGG